ensembl:lncRNA
UAUCGCGGCCACCAGCUCCGGAACUCGAGGAUUCUGUGGCCGCUGUGGUGCCCGGAACACUUAAUGAGGCUCCGGGAAGCCAAGGAAAGGAUGGGGACCCCUUGGAUGCUUUAAAAAUGAGAGAUCCCCUGGAGCCCCCAGGGCUGGUGGAGAGACAGCAGGAGGCCACCGAGCCAGGCCCCCUGGUGGUGACUCUGGGCCAGCAUUUCAUCUCUCAGCCCCUUCUCCCAGCUCUUAGCCCUGCUUGGCAGCGGAGGGAUCCACCUGCACUGGUAGAGGGGGUUUGCCCCCAGGGAGUUCCCUCCACCACUGAGCUCCCCACCUUAAAGCCGGAUGUCCUGUCCCUGCGUUCCCAUGGCACGGUCGUACCUCUCACACACAUGUUCGUGUGGUCCCAGAGAGCACCCGGCCUGCAAGGGGCAGCCUAGCGGCCACGCUGACACUUGCCCACUUUUACCGGACUUGGCGGGGUCUGGUUUUGUCCUCCUGUCCGCCCAGUGAGAGGCAAAGCACGGUGGGAAGUCUCAGCAAGCUGAAGAUGGCAGCUGCCUUUCUGAGUGGGAGCCCCCUGGGGACCUGCCACCAGCAGAGUCUGUCCUGCCUCUGUCCUCCCUGGGAGCAAUGGUCCUAUCAGGCAGAGAUGCUCAAUGCAGAGGAGCCUGGGGCUUUGUGCCGGGUGCUGACCCCUCCUGGCCUGACCUCUGACCCGACUCAGUCUCCCACCUCGGCCCACUAGGGAGAAGAGCCGCCAGCUGAACGUUGCUUUUGGAUUCAAAGAAGUCGGGCCACAGCUAGAAAGGACCAUGCUCCUGGCCUCGGGCCCAGGCCAUCCUGAAGGUUUGGAGGUGAGAGAAGGAGAGGGCCUGGAAGGGAGGAGGGCGAGUCCUCCCCACCCAUCUCAAGGGUAACGCACUGGUGAGCCAGCAGCUUGGGCAUCAUGAAGGCACCAUUCACAGUUGGGAAAACUGAGGAAGACCGAAGUCCAGUGGUCACCGCAAGCAAGCAUCUGAGACCGGAUUCUGCCCCUCAGCAGAAGAGAAUGCUUCUUUUUGUCUCUGCAGCUCCGGCACUUUUAAGAGCGUCUAGAGCACGGUAAGUGCUUGCUGACGUUCCAGAUCUCAGCUAUAUAACAAGGGCAAUCAUCGAAACAAUCUGGUGCUGCCUAAGAAAGAGGGCGGUGAAUCAGGGGACUAGAAUGGGUGCUCGAGACCGAGUGAUCCAGUGUCUGAUAAACUCAAAGAUCCAAGACGGAAACUCAUUCUGUGAUGAAAAUCUGGGAAGCCGUGGGCAAAAUCCAGGAGCAGACCAACAUCCUCCGUGCUGGGCUGAGGUGAGGUCAGAAAGGGCCCAAAACUUGGCCAUAAAGGGGGAGGUCAAUAGGAGAGCGAUGGAUCAGUUCUGCCCAUAAGGAAGGAUUUAAGGCCAAAGUAGGGCACAAUACUGUAACUGGGCUAUAAGAAAUGGUGGGUGGCGGGGGGCAGGACCGGGGAACACUGCGCGGCAACAGCCGGUUGGAGCCAUGAAGAACGACUUAGCUCUUCUCAGACGGACAACAUCCGAGACAAUCCCCAAGGACUGCACGGACCUCCAGAAAAACGACUGCCCGAGUCCAGCUGGGAACCAAAGCUGACUUGUUCUUUUUCUUUAUUUUUUCAUGUUGAUUUUGUUUUGUUUGUUUGGUCAGUGCUUUUUUUCACAACGUGACUAGCAUGGAGUGUGUUUGCAUGACUGUACAUGUAUAAACAUUAUCCAGUUUCUUGCCUUCUCAGGGAGGGGGAGGAAAGUGAAGGAAGG